rnacentral:rRNA from 1 species
UGCCUAAUGCAUGCAAGUAGAACGAACCUUGUGUCUUACACAAGGAAUGUCACCAAUAGGCCAAUACUACUAAUAAGUACAAAUGAACACCAAUUAAAACAAUUGGGAAUUUGUAUUUAUUUGAUAUUGGUAUUUAUUUGGCAUUUCUCGCGUAGGACGCGAGGCUAGUUGCGAACGGCUGAGUAAUGAAUAGGAAUCUCCCCAAUGGUGUGGAAUACCUCAUCGAAAGAUGAGCUAAUACCAUAUGACCUCGCAAGAGAAAAGCGCUUAACUGCGCGCCGAUGGAUGAGCCUAUUUCCCAUCAGGCUGUUGGUAGGGUAAUGGCCUACCAAACCUAUGACGGGUAGGGGGCGUGAGAGCGCGUUCCCCCAGAAUGGGACUGAGACACGGGCCAUACACCUACG